rnacentral:rRNA from 1 species
AGCAUAUCAAUAAGCGGAGGAAAAGAAACUAACAAGGAUUCCCCUAGUAACGGCGAGUGAAGCGGGAAGAGCUCAAAUUUAAAAUCUGGCAGUGUAUUCUGUCCGAGUUGUAGUCUAGAGAAGCAUCAUCCGUGCUGGACCAUGUACAAGUCUCUUGGAACAGAGCGUCAUAGAGGGUGAGAAUCCCGUCCUUGACAUGGACUCCCAGUACUUUGUGUUGUGCUCUCAACGAGUCGAGUUGUUUGGGAAUGCAGCUCAAAAUGGGUGGUAAAUUCCAUCUAAAGCUAAAUAUUGGCGAGAGACCGAUAGCGAACAAGUACCGUGAGGGAAAGAUGAAAAGCACUUUGGAGAGAGAGUUAAACAGUACGUGAAAUUGUUGAAAUGGAAACGCUUGAAGUCAGUCGCGUUCUCUGGGAUUCAGCCUUGCUUUUGCUUGGUGCAUUUCCCGGUCUACGGGCCAGCAUGAAUUUUGACCAAUGGAAAAAGGCUUGGGGAAUGUGGCACCUUCGGGUGUGUUAUAGCCCCUUGUCACAUACGUUGGUUGGGAUUGAGGUCUUAGUGCACGCUUCGGUUGUGCUUUGAUGCUGGCGUAAUGGCUUUAAACGACCCGUCUUGAAACACGGACCAAGGAGUCUAACAUGUCUGCAAGUGUUUGGGUGCAAAACCCGAGCGCGUAAUGAAAGUGAUAGUUGGGAACCUCUUCAGAGGGGCACCGACGCCCGGACCAGACCUUCUGUGACGGAUCCGAGGUAGAGCAUAUAUGUUGGGACCCGAAAGAUGGUGAACUAUGCCUGCAUAGGGUGAAGCCAGAGGAAACUCUGGUGGAGGCUCGUACGAUUCUGACGUGCAAAUCGAUCGUCAAAUGUGGGUUAGGGGCGAAAGACUAAUCGAACCAU